GGAGCUUGCUCCACCGGAAAAAGAAGAGUGGCGAACGGGUGAGUAACACGUGGGUAACCUGCCCAUCAGAAGGGGAUAACACUUGGAAACAGGUGCUAAUACCGUAUAACAAUCGAAACCGCAUGGUUUUGAUUUGAAAGGCGCUUUCGGGUGUCGCUGAUGGAUGGACCCGCGGUGCAUUAGCUAGUUGGUGAGGUAACGGCUCACCAAGGCCACGAUGCAUAGCCGACCUGAGAGGGUGAUCGGCCACAUUGGGACUGAGACACGGCCCAAACUCAUACGGGAGGCAGCAGUAGGGAAUCUUCGGCAAUGGACGAAAGUCUGACCGAGCAACGCCGCGUGAGUGAAGAAGGUUUUCGGAUCGUAAAACUCUGUUGUUAGAGAAGAACAAGGAUGAGAGUAACUGUUCAUCCCUUGACGGUAUCUAACCAGAAAGCCACGGCUAACUACGUGCCAGCAGCCGCGGUAAUACGUAGGUGGCAAGCGUUGUCCGGAUUUAUUGGGCGUAAAGCGAGCGCAGGCGGUUUCUUAAGUCUGAUGUGAAAGCCCCCGGCUCAACCGGGGAGGGUCAUUGGAAACUGGGAGACUUGAGUGCAGAAGAGGAGAGUGGAAUUCCAUGUGUAGCGGUGAAAUGCGUAGAUAUAUGGAGGAACACCAGUGGCGAAGGCGGCUCUCUGGUCUGUAACUGACGCUGAGGCUCGAAAGCGUGGGGAGCAAACAGGAUUAGAUACCCUGGUAGUCCACGCCGUAAACGAUGAGUGCUAAGUGUUGGAGGGUUUCCGCCCUUCAGUGCUGCAGCUAACGCAUUAAGCACUCCGCCUGGGGAGUACGACCGCAAGGUUGAAACUCAAAGGAAUUGACGGGGGCCCGCACAAGCGGUGGAGCAUGUGGUUUAAUUCGAAGCAACGCGAAGAACCUUACCAGGUCUUGACAUCCUUUGACCACUCUAGAGAUAGAGCUUCCCCUUCGGGGGCAAAGUGACAGGUGGUGCAUGGUUGUCGUCAGCUCGUGUCGUGAGAUGUUGGGUUAAGUCCCGCAACGAGCGCAACCCUUAUUGUUAGUUGCCAUCAUUUAGUUGGGCACUCUAGCAAGACUGCCGGUGACAAACCGGAGGAAGGUGGGGAUGACGUCAAAUCAUCAUGCCCCUUAUGACCUGGGCUACACACGUGCUACAAUGGGAAGUACAACGAGUCGCGAAGUCGCGAGGCUAAGCUAAUCUCUUAAAGCUUCUCUCAGUUCGGAUUGUAGGCUGCAACUCGCCUACAUGAAGCCGGAAUCGCUAGUAAUCGCGGAUCAGCACGCCGCGGUGAAUACGUUCCCGGGCCUUGUACACACCGCCCGUCACACCACGAGAGUUUGUAACACCCGAAGUCGGUGAGGU
rnacentral:rRNA from 1 species